UACAGAGGUCUCAAGCGUUGUUCGGAUUCAUUGGGCGUAAAGGGUGUGUAGGUGGCGCCGUAAGUCGGGUGUGAAAUUUCGGAGCUUAACCCUGAAACUGCACUUGAUACUGCUCUGCUUGAGGACUGGAGAGGAGACUGGAAUUCACGGUGUAGCAGUGAAAUGCGUAGAUAUCGUGAGGAAGACCAGUGGCGAAGGCGGGUCUCUGGACAGUUCCUGACGCUGAGGCGCGAAGGCCAGGGGAGCAAACGGG
rnacentral:rRNA from 1 species